GUCCACGCCCUAAACGAUGUCUACUAGUUGUUGGGAGAGUAAAAUCUCUUAGUAACGCAGCUAACGCGUGAAGUAGACCGCCUGGGGAGUACGGUCGCAAGAUUAAAACUCAAAGGAAUUGACGGGGGCCCGCACAAGCAGCGGAGCAUGUUGUUUAAUUCGAAGCGACGCGAAGAACCUUACCUAGGCUUGACAUAAAUUCGUAAGGCGUGGAAACACGUCCCCUCUUCGGAGCGGAUUUACAGGUGGUGCAUGGCUGUCGU
rnacentral:rRNA from 1 species